rnacentral:tRNA from 1 species
CGGCGCGCUGGGCCGGCGGCGGGCUGAUGGCUUGGCAUGCCGGCGGCGCCCGAGCCUUCCUGCGCACUGGUCCGAUCCGCUUCCGUCCGGGCCAU